rnacentral:sRNA from 1 species
AGACUUCUCCAUCAGAUAGUCCUCUGCCUGGCUGUCCUUUGUGUGGACACAUGGGUAACACUGGCCUCACUUCCACAAGGGUUCUGUCCCAGAGCACUCUCUUGCCCUCAGAGGAGUGAUGUGCCCUGGGCAUUUCCAGCUCGAGAGUUCCUUCGAAAGAAGCUGAUUGGGAAGGAAGUCUGUUUCACGAUAGAAAACAAGACUCCCCAGGGGCGAGAGUAUGGCAUGAUCUACCUUGGAAAAGAUACCAAUGGGGAAAACAUUGCAGAAUCACUGGUUGCAGAGGGCUUAGCCACCCGGAGAGAAGGCAUGAGAGCUAAUAAUCCUGAGCAGAACCGGCUUUCAGAAUGUGAAGAACAAGCAAAGGCAGCCAAGAAAGGGAUGUGGAGUGAGGGGAACGGUUCACAUACUAUCCGGGAUCUCAAGUAUACCAUUGAAAACCCAAGGCACUUUGUGGACUCACACCACCAGAAGCCUGUUAAUGCUAUCAUCGAGCAUGUGCGGGACGGCAGUGUGGUCAGGGCCCUGCUCCUCCCAGAUUACUACCUGGUUACAGUCAUGCUGUCAGGCAUCAAGUGCCCAACUUUUCGACGGGAAGCAGAU